rnacentral:rRNA from 1 species
UACGUAGGGCGCAGGCGUUGUCCGGAAUUAUUGGGCGUAAAGAGCUCGUAGGCGGUUUGUCGCGUCUGCUGUGAAAUCCCGAGGCUCAACCUCGGGCUUGCAGUGGGUACGGGCAGACUAGAGUGCGGUAGGGGAGACUGGAAUUCCUGGUGUAGAGGUGAAAUUCGUAGAUAUCAGGAGGAACACCGGUGGCGAAGGCGGCCAUCUGGACGACAACUGACGCUGAGGCGCGAAAGCGUGGGGAUCAAACAGG